rnacentral:rRNA from 1 species
GACGAACGCUGGCGGCGUGCCUAAUACAUGCAAGUCGAACGCAGUGGGGACGGGUGAGUAACACGUGGGUAACCUCCCAUCAGAGGGGAUAACACUUGGAUACAGGUGCUAAACCGAUACUGAUGGAUGGACUCGCGGUGCAUUAGCUAGUUGGUGAGGUAACGGCUCACCAAGGCCACGAUGCAUAGCCGACCUGCGAGGGUGAUCGGCCACACUGGGACUGAGACACGGCCCAGACUCCUACGGGAGGCAGCAGUGGGGAAUAUGCGACAAUGGGCGAAAGUCUGACCGAGCAACGCCGCGUGAGUGAAGAAGGUUUUCGGGUCGUAAAACUCUGUUGUUAGAGAGGCGGUAUCUAACCAGAAAGCCACGGCUAACUACGUGCCAGCAGCCGCGGUAAUUC